AUGUGUGUGUGUGUGUGUGUGUGUGUGUGUGUGUGUGUGUGUGUGUGUGUGUGUGUGUGUGUGUGUGUGUGUGUGUGUGUGUGUGUGUGUGUUUUACACCUUGAGUUGCUUUACCUUCCGAAACGGGUCCACAUGAGCCCUGAGGGCCAGUCCAAGAAAGAUUACUUUCACCAUUAUCAUUCCACACGAAGGAAUAUUGCAUGUGCUCCUCAUGUUCCACGGUUUGCAGACCCUCUGCCCAAGUGGGAUCCCCUUUAAACUCUAUGUGCCUCUAGCGGCCAGCCAGCAAUGUGAACGAAAGAAAAGGUGUUAGCAACCGACGCAUUAUGACAGGGAUAUACAUCCUGGCAUGCAUGCGGCGACCAGCUCACCCCGGCUGCUUUCGCAAGCGGCAAACCCAUUCAGUGUUG
rnacentral:lncRNA from 1 species